rnacentral:rRNA from 1 species
UGCUCUUAUGAAGUUAGCGGCGGACGGGUGAGUAACACGUGGGUAACCUGCCCAUAAGACUGGGAUAACUCCGGGAAACCGGGGCUAAUACCGGAUAACAUUUUGAACCGCAUGGUUCGAAAUUGAAAGGCGGCUUCGGCUGUCACUUAUGGAUGGACCCGCGUCGCAUUAGCUAGUUGGUGAGGUAACGGCUCACCAAGGCAACGAUGCGUAGCCGACCUGAGAGGGUGAUCGGCCACACUGGGACUGAGACACGGCCCAGACUCCUACGGGAGGCAGCAGUAGGGAAUCUUCCGCAAUGGACGAAAGUCUGACGGAGCAACGCCGCGUGAGUGAUGAAGGCUUUCGGGUCGUAAAACUCUGUUGUUAGGGAAGAACAAGUGCUAGUUGAAUAAGCUGGCACCUUGACGGUACCUAACCAGAAAGCCACGGCUAACUACGUGCCAGCAGCCGCGGUAAUACGUAGGUGGCAAGCGUUAUCCGGAAUUAUUGGGCGUAAAGCGCGCGCAGGUGGUUUCUUAAGUCUGAUGUGAAAGCCCACGGCUCAACCGUGGAGGGUCAUUGGAAACUGGGAGACUUGAGUGCAGAAGAGGAAAGUGGAAUUCCAUGUGUAGCGGUGAAAUGCGUAGAGAUAUGGAGGAACACCAGUGGCGAAGGCGACUUUCUGGUCUGUAACUGACACUGAGGCGCGAAAGCGUGGGGAGCAAACAGGAUUAGAUAC